CCCUCCUCCACCUCCUUCCUUAAUUUCUGGUGUAAUGGUUAUGACCCUCCCUGAGCCCCCUCUCUACUACUUUCUGCUCCUCUGCUCCCUCUCAAGUGUUGUAAAGAAACCCUGUAUGCUCCUUUUAUUGGUAUAAAGUUGUUCAGGCUGGCGUAAGCCCGCCGUAGUCCAGGUCAAAAAAAAAAGACUAUACCAAAGAUCACGUCUCUGAUUCUGAAUGAGCAUGGUCCCUAAUGUUCGCAAACAUGGUGUAGAAGUUAGCGAACAUUAUGUGUGGACAUCCCGCAAAAAUAUUCUUUGUUGAUAUUUUGUUCCAUUUUACUCCCACGAGUAUUUGUAAGGUUAGGCGUUAAAGCUGAUAGCAAUGCUUGUUUAAGAAGUUCGUAGGUGAUACAUGCAUUUUGUCUGUCACGCAUCACAUACUACACAGUUAACUGUUUAAUGUUGACUCCUAGUCAUUUGGAGUACUGUAUAUUUUUUCAAGUGUGUUGCAUCAUUGAUUAAACCAAAUAUUUGUUUUGAUUCAGAUGCAUUCUUUCUUGAGCAGCCGGAGGAGUGGAUGGGUCGAACCAGGUCUCGGAGCACUACAGAUCAUGGUGCCUAACAACCAGAAGCAGUUCAUCAACAUCCUAACCGGCCACAUCAACAGUGGCGUGAUCCCCAUGAGCAGGUUCAGAUGCAAGCAUGGUUAAUCAGCCCGGAAAGCAGCUAAACUGAGUAGCUGACAGAGUGACCAAGUUAAACCUGGUGAAUCCGAGCCUGGCAAUUUCCUGGAAAGGCUUCACAAGGAAAAGGGGAACACGGUGGGCUCCCCAAGCUGGUGUCGGUGUCACCUCCUUCGUGGUGCUCUGCUUGGUGGGUGAUGGGCGUGCGUGGACGCCGACGAUCUACUGGCAGGGGGCCGGCAUGGUGCUACUGCUUGGGGCUGUGGCCGGCCUCCGGAAGGUGCAGCUGCCGGCAACGCGUGAGAAUUCUGCUGGGCUACACAUGCAGAUGGAUUCCGGCGGCGCACGCCGGUGGAUUGGAUUCCGGCGACGCACGCGGGUGGAUUUGGAUUCCGACGGCGCACAUGGCUUGAGG